UAGGGAAUUUUCCACAAUGGGGGCAACCCUGAUGGAGCAACGCCGCGUGCAGGAUGAAGGCUUUCGGGUCGUAAACUGCUUUUAUAUGUGAAGAAUAUGACGGUAACAUAUGAAUAAGGGUCGGCUAACUACGUGCCAGCAGCCGCGGUCAUACGUAGGACCCAAGCGUUAUUCGGAAUUACUGGGCGUAAAGAGUUGCGUAGGCGGCAAGUUAAGUGGGUAGUGAAAUCGUGUGGCUCAACCAUACAGA
rnacentral:rRNA from 1 species